rnacentral:lncRNA from 1 species
UAGGUGGGGAAACUGAGGCAAAGGGUGUUUAAAUGGUCUGCCCAAAGUCACACAGCUAAGAAGCAGUGAUGGGAUAUGAAGUCAAACAGUCUUAAAAGCAAGCUAUCCUGUUGCAAAAUAGAAAUUAGUUGAUAACGUCUUCCAGGAGACCUACGGCCAUCCUACUGAUAUGAACCAGAUCAUACCUGCCCUGAUGGGAUGCCAGAGAAAGACUGCUGCAAGUAGGGAUCCUCUGGAAACAGAACAGAGGGAAGAAGAUACCUUCCCUGAAGCCCAGAUGUUCCAGAAGCCUGCGCCUCAUUCACAAAGUCACCCCAAAAAUGCCCUAGAGUUUGGAGUUUUGAAGAAGCGGGAAGAAGGCCUGAGUAAGGGCCUGGGAACCAAGUUAGAUCCUACUUCAGCAUCAGCACAUGCCAGCGAUGGUGCACACAGGUAUAAAACAGCAUGAAGAAAA